rnacentral:rRNA from 1 species
GACGUAGGGCGCGAGCGUUGUCCGGAUUUAUUGGGCGUAAAGAGCUCGUAGGCGGUUUGUCGCGUCUGCUGUGAAAACUGGAGGCUCAACCUCCAGCCUGCAGUGGGUACGGGCAAACUAGAGUGCGGUAGGGGAGACUGGAAUUCCUGGUGUAGCGGUGAAAUGCGCAGAUAUCAGGAGGAACACCGGUGGCGAAGGCGGGUCUCUGGGCCGUAACUGACGCUGAGGAGCGAAAGCGUGGGGAGCGAACAGG